UGAGGAAUAUUGGUCAAUGGGCGCAAGCCUGAACCAGCCAUCCCGCGUGAAGGAUGAAGGUCCUAUGGAUUGUAAACUUCUUUUAUACACCAAGAAAACUUCGGACGUGUCCGAAUCUGACGGUAGUGUAUGAAUAAGCACCGGCUAACUCCGUGCCAGCAGCCGCGGUAAUACGGAGGGUGCAAGCGUUAUCCGGAUUCAUUGGGUUUAAAGGGUGCGUAGGCGGCUUUUUAAGUCAGUGGUGAAAUCUUGCCGCUUAACGGUAAAAUUGCCAUUGAUACUGAAAAGCUUGAGUACAGUUGAGGUAGGCGGAAUGUGUAGUGUAGCGGUGAAAUGCUUAGAUAUUACACAGAACACCGAUUGCGAAGGCAGCUUACUAAACUGUUACUGACGCUGAUGCACGAAAGCGUGGGGAGCGAACA
rnacentral:rRNA from 1 species